GUAGUUCGUUCUAAUUCCAUGCUAAUGACUUGCUAGAAUAUCUAAUUGAGGUGCUUAUCAUAUUUAUUAUGUGGCUAAGUUAUGCUUAUCAGAUUAAUUAUCUUUGUCACUAUUCAUUACUUUAUAUAUCCUUUAUGUGACACUUAUCCCUGUAUGAAAGAGUUAGAUAAAUGUUCUCAAUUAUACAUGCAAUGAUAGAUACUCAAUCUUAUAUUCCAUUCUAUAAUCAACAUUGAUAGUUACUAAUCCCUUCCCAGUGGUAAAAAUAUAAAUAACGAUACCUGGAAUACUUCCCGGUUAAAAUACUACAUCGGUAUUAAUCUGUGCGCUUGCAGAUCCCAUUCAUUAUUUAUUUAGAUGAGCAAUUACAUCUUUCAAUACCGCGUCUCUCAUGUCAUGCUGGGGAUGACAACUUGGCUUAAUUGGUAUGAGGGAUAGGUUUGGCAUUUUUGGCGCCGUUAUCAGAAUUAGAAAACUAAGUCUAUUUUUGGUAAUAACGUUAAGAAUACCCGACACCAAGUCUAGGUAAUUGACAAACAUGAUAUGAGAAGGUCUGAGCUACUAUUUAACGUUAAGAAUACCCGACACCAAGAGAUUUUAUCUUUUGAAAAUCUAAAAAUUCAAAAAAAAAGAGAUCAUGUUUGACAUAAUACCUAGAGUCUUAUAAGAUAUAAAUAUUAAAACUAUGGGCACUUGCUUUGUUCAAGCCAUUGUUAAUUCUUGUAGUUUUGGUUGAGAGAAUUAUCAUGCUCCAAAGAUCAAGAUCUUUUUGUUUUAAACAUAUAAAGGAUUCACUCUUCCAAAGUAUUAUUGCGUUAGAGGCAUGGGACUAUGCAAAAAUUUGAUUCGAAAAAAAGAGAGUGAAACGAGAGGUAAAAAUGGACAAGUGUCCGAAGUAAAAUUAGGGGUACAAAGAUACCCACCUGAGUGGAAAAAAUGGACACGUGUCCGAUAGUAGAAUUAGGGGUACUUGGUGCCCACUUGAAAAAAAAGAAAAAAAUGAUAGCCCAUGGUCCCUCUAAUAAGCAAUAUGCCAGUAAGAGAUGACAAACUUUUCAAAAAGGUCAAAGGUCUUGAUCUAGGAGUAUGACAUUCUUCUCCCUUGCUCCGAGCAUUGACAUAGCAAAAUGCAAAGUAAGUAUGCUAAAACUUUUAAAGCUCUACUUAUAUAUCUUUCGAGAUGAAUGCAAAAUGCCUCAGUUUUAUUUUGGAAACUUACAAAAAAAACUCCAGAACAAAGGUAAGACAGAGGAACUUGAGACAUAGUGCUUGACUUGAUCGUUCUGUUUUUCAAUCACUUAAGACCAUAGUGAUAACUUAAAAACCCUGUAGUAAGAGGCAUAAAAGUAAACCAUGUUUUCUUGCUGAUUUUGGCUUUGCUCAGGGACGAGCAAAGGUUAAGCUUCGGGGAGCUUGUUGGCGGUCCUUAAUGCUCACAUUUAACCGUCAACUAAUCAUAGAAAGGGACCUAUAUGCAACCAACAUCCAAAAUUAGGGUUUCAUCUGACAAAAUUCCAUGAGUUUUGGUGUUUGUCUAUUUCUGCAGGGGGUUAUCAGGAAAUAUGGAGGAAAGGUCCACACGUCGGGUUUACAUAGAGAUAUUAACGUGCACCGCAAUUAUCCAACAUCUAGAAGAGUCCAAAAGCCACAGGACCGAGCGGGAGGCCGAGCGGGCCCGGGGGUUGGGCGCCCGCCCUGCCCUGGUGACCAAUCAGGGCAGGUCUCGCGGAUCGUGCUCCACCGCCUCUAAUCUUCAAGAAUAACCGUGCGAUUAAGGUUGGUUUGAUCCGACGGCCCACAUUCAUUUGGAGGGGCUAUAUAAGCAGGCCCUCUGGCCCCUGGAGGCAUAUCUCUUCUACAGAAUCAAAGCUAGGGUUUCUAUUAUUCAUCCAAGUAGAGAGGAUCCCUCUAGUUCAUCUAGUUCUAGUUCUAGUUCAUCUAGUUCUAGUUCUAGUUAGUUCUAGUUGUAAUCUAGAAAAUAGGGAGAGAGAAGAGGAGAGCGGAGGAGGAGCCGGAUCUGUUGGAUCUUCCUCAACAUUGUACUUUUGC
rnacentral:lncRNA from 1 species